rnacentral:rRNA from 1 species
UGAGGAACAUGACCUUCGGCGGGGGAUAGCCGGCCCAACGGCCGGGUAAUACCGCGUACGACCACAUGGGGACAUCCCUGAGUGGUGAAAGCAGCAAUGCGCCGAUGGAGUGCCUCGCGGCCUAUCAGCUAGUUGGUGAGGUAACGGCUCACCAAGGCGACGACGGGUANCUGGUCUGAGAGGAUGGCCAGCCACAUUGGGACUGAGACACGGCCCAGACCUNUACCGGGAGG